CUGGGUACCCUUCCCCAGAGGGGACCCCGAGCUGCCAGGAAAUUCCCUGGGAGGGCUGGGUGCAGAAUCCAAAAACCUGUGGAGUUUUUCUGGUUUUUUUAUAGGUAUUGGCCCUCUAGUGUUAUGAUUUUGUUUUGUCAGUAACAGAAAUAGAUUUUGUUUCCACGUGUCUUAAUUGCAUGUAAAUUAGUGUCUAAAAUACAUGUAUAAAUCACAUAUUAAAGUCUACAGAUUGAAAUUUAUAUGUAUAAAUUCCAUAGAGAUUAGUGUAUACUGUGUACCAGUGUUGACUAAUGCUUUAUAUUUUUGUCAUUCUGAUGUGUUAGGUUAAUGAAUCUACGUAGUUUAAAAUAGAAACAAAUAGAAAUUUAAAAAAACCCAUAAAAAUAGAAAGAUAUAAAGAUAAAUAUAUAAAUUCAUAAUAAAUUGAUAAUUUUAAAAAUAGAAAUACAUAUAUCAAUAGAAAAUCUAUAAUACAGAUGUAGAUAAAUAUGCACACAAAAUAUAAGUAGUAUUAUGUAUGUUAUUGUUAUAUUAUAUAUAAGAAUAUGUAUAAAAUAUAAAUAUAAGUUUAAAAAAAAUAUUAAAAUACAGUGCUUUAAUAUUAAAGGGCUGAGGUCAAGGGCAAAAGCUCAGUGAUCAGGGGUCAAUGGUUAAAGUGAAAAGUCAGGGAUUCAAACUUCAGGGGUCACAUGUGAAUGGUCAAGGUUCAAAGAUCAAGAAGGGUCCAAGGUCCAAUGUUAUGGGUUAAUUUUCCAAGGUUGUGUGGUCCAAGGUCAAUUUUCAGGGAAUCAAACUUCAAAGAGUAGAAGUCAAGAAUCAAAGGUCAAAAUUCAGAGGUUAACAGUAAAAGGUCAAGGGUCAGGGUCAAAGGUGAAGGGUCCAAGGUUGGAGGUUGCCAGGGAGUUGCAGGGAAGAGGAGUAUUUAUAAACUUUAUCCGUAUUUCCUUGUAAUUCUGGGUGUUUGGAUUUCUUUUGUGCUCAUCAGGAUAACCCAUAAACAAGCCCCUGAACUCUGCAUCGAUGUGUCAAACACUUCCACAGAAAGGCAAGUCAGCAGUGAUUCUAGAGGAAAAAUUAGAGGUGAUGGCUUAUGAUCCAUGGGGAAUUACACUGGGAAUUAUGAAACUCAAACACAUGGAAUUGUGGAGGUGGAAUUCCAUUUUCAGCCUUGGGCACCUGGAGGAGGAGAGGUGUCCUCAUCCAUAGUGAGGAAAGCCUGGUGCCCCAGUGUGUCAGGUGCAGGGAAUGAGCAACAAGUUCCUUCUGCCCCUGCCCUCGCUCUUGGGGUGGCAACAGCACAAACUGAGCUGUGAGGAUGAUGAGGGCUCAGGGAAGCCCCAGGUGUGAGCAGCGAUGAUGAGGAGGGAGCGGGUCCUGCCCGGGGAUGUUUUAGGGGGAGGGUUUCCCUCAGCUCACUUAGGUAUGGAGCAGCUGGAGGAGAGGGGUUUAUGGUGGGCUCCCAGAGGUGUCUCAUGGAACGAUGUUGGGAGCAUCUCGUAGGGUCUGGGGGAUCACCUGGAUGCACUUGGAUGCAGAGCAUUGCUUAAAGGAGGUGUCGAGGGACAAACCUUUGUGCCAAGAAACAGCAGAUGAGCCAGCAUGGAUUUGCAAGGGGGGACUUUUCUUCUUCAGGCCAAGCUGAGCUGAAGCGAACCGAGUAUAUAACUAGGCAAUCCUCCCCUUGCAGCUGCUGAGAGCACUGAAAACCUGUGUGCUUCGUGGUGUCCGUUGCCCAGCUGGAGACGAUUCCCUUGUGUUUGGUGCAUUAAGUCACAGCGAGCUGUGUGGGGUGGCAGGUGACCACAUUGCCCGACCCUUUUAGCUUUUCUGGCUCACACACAACUUCCUUUCCUUUUUUCUAUGGAAAACAGUGCCUGUGUGUGCCUGUGUGACCAGUUGCAGUCACCUGAGGAUUGGUAACUUUUGACAAUGAGCUCAGCACUUGCACUGGCUCCCCUCCCUGGCUGCAAUGCUGUGGGUUUUGGCAGCUGCAUUGUAAAGUUUCUUGGUAGAUUUUCAUGUCACUUGCCCUGUAAGCGUUCACCCAGGGUUCCCUUAAACAAACACACUGUGUGGCAGCAGCGAGUUUCUCUUCAUAAAGUAGAGAUAAAUUUCUGUGCUUCCUUUUUUAAGCAAUUGAACUGCUCAAGAAACUGCUGCCCGAGAUGGUGAGGUUUGAGGCCUCUCUGGAGGAGCUGGAACUUUAUAAGGAUGGGGGCUCGUGAUUCACCCAUGGAUUUGUGCACAUGCAAUGUAGCAAACCUGACUUUUAUUUCAGCCAAAGCUUAAUGUCACUGUCAGAAAACUGAAUAUGAUUUUUGGCCCAUAGUUGUUUAUGAAUUGUGUAAGCCAUUAUAUAAUCAAUUACAUAAUUGAGAUGUGUCUAGUGGAUGUAUUACUGUUAUAUUGUGUGUGUGUGUAUAUGUGAUGAUUUCAUUAUCAAACCAUUUCACUGAACAGUCAAGUUCAUUGGAGUGAAAUCUGAUUACUUGCAUUUUAAAAACUUGCCCACCCCAACCCUUUUUGAUUCUUUUUCACAGAUAUUUUAUAGGCAUAUUUCAACAUUUUCCUUCCUAAUCCACGAGUAAAGGGAGAUGUUGGGAUUUGAUCCAAAAGAUCUUACAACCGAUUUUGUGGUGAAACAGAGAAAAACUGUGAGCAGCCAACUCACUGGAAAACUGUAUGUUAAACGCAGAGAAGCACAAAGUGUUUGAUGCUGUUAGAGUUCAAAAUAACAAGGAAAAAUGAUGGGGAAUUUACCUGCCUUGGAACCAAGUAUGAUCCCAUCCCAUACUCUCAGCUCCUGCUCCCCUUCCAGCCUGGCUGUGACCCGGGCUGGCCGUACCGCUCGGUGUCUCUGGACCUCACAGCAUUUCUACGUGGCUGCUGCACCCGGGUCCCCAGUACGUCCUGCUCUGGCCGCUUUCCCCAAGCGGUCCCACGUGCACCAAGAGGCUGCUACAGACCACAGGGGCCUCUUGGCUGCAGAGCUGGGUGAUGGGAGACAGCAAAGCAAUGCCCAGGAUGCAGCUGUUCAAGCCAGCCUCGCCUCACGGAGCAUUUCUUUCUCACCUGUCCAUGGUUCUCUCUGUGUGUCUGUGGUCAUUUUUAAACUGCAGGGCUGGGAGGCCUGGCCACUUCACCUGGAGUGCUCACCCUGGGAGCACCAGUCUCUGCCUUGGGAGGAAGCAAGCUGCCACCAGAGUAAAAGCAGGGUGGAGCUGCUCUCACUCCAAGGCAAGAGCCUGCAAGGCCCAUCCUUUGGGGACUGAUCUUUUGUGUGAAGGCACAUUGUCUAGCAGAGGAAGAGGUUGGUACCUGGUGGAGCAGGGCCAAGAUUCCAUUUUCCCCAUUCUACCUCCUGCAGCACUGGCCAGGGCUGGGAGAGGAGGGGGAGUGUGUUCAGCACUGCUGCUGGAACGGAGUGGCCCUCUCAGGAGGAUCCUGGUUGCUUCAGGGCUUUGCUUUUCCACUGGUUUGUGUCCACAAAGGAAAGGCAUGCAGAAGGCAGCACCAUCACCCCAGGCCUGUAGUCAGGAGUCCAUCAGCUUUCCCCACAGUGAAAGUGGUUAAGGUCUCCUUAACCAAAGGAAAACUCAGCACCACUACAGAUGUACAGAACAGCAAUUUAUCCACCAGGGCCUUCUGACACACUUUGCCCAUUAUGUGUCCAGAGGACUCCAAAUACUGACUUUACAUGUCCACAAGUGUGGCCAAAGCCACACAUACAGAGCAACACCAAGUUUUCACUGUGUACCAAGAGAAACAAAGAUGUAAUAACAUUAUUUCUUAGACAACUGUUGGGGAUGAAGUCAAAUGUAAAGAAAAAAUGGAAAUGUAAAAAAUGAUGGAUGUUAGUGCACACGGA